ensembl:lncRNA
GACAGAUGGUGGGCAGGGAGGGUAGUGCUAUGACCUCAGCGCGGUGCCUGGGGAGCACUGAUAUGCAGCCUUUGCUAGCACUUGCCAGGAAAAGAAGUGACCUUGCUCUGCUGACUGGGACCUGGGGGCCUUGGGAUGAAAUGUUGGCAGCAAAGGACCUGUUUGCAGAGCUUCACUGUCCCUGCACCAGCAGAGGAACUGAUGCCUUCAGCUACCUCCAUCCAACAGGAAGCCACACAGCUCCUUCUCCCUGGCAUUUGGCAGAGAGCACUCGGCUGUCCUUCCAUGUGAGACCAACCAGAGAGAGCCAUAUAUGCACUCCUAAUCGGUUCCACAGGAAGACGCGGUCCUGCUUAGCUGCCUCCAGCCUCCUCACAAAACAGCUUUGGAUUCAGGCACACCUGCAGCCAUCCAUCCCUUUUAUCCAUUAUAAAGUUUUCUCGCUCCUCUGCCUACCUUUGAGCCUCUGCCAAGAUGCUAGUAAUGGUGGCUGACUCACUUGCUAUUGUAAACUCCAAAUAAAUAGACUGCUUGC